GGCAUACACAUGCAGUCGAGCGGGGAAGUAUAGCUUGCUAUAUGACCUAGCGGCGGACGGGUGAGUAAUGCUUAGGAAUCUGCCUAUUAGUGGGGGACAACAUUCCGAAAGGAAUGCUAAUACCGCAUACGCCCUACGGGGGAAAGCAGGGGAUCUUCGGACCUUGCGCUAAUAGAUGAGCCUAAGUCAGAUUAGCUAGUUGGUGGGGUAAAGGCCUACCAAGGCGACGAUCUGUAGCGGGUCUGAGAGGAUGAUCCGCCACACUGGGACUGAGACACGGCCCAGACUCCUACGGGAGGCAGCAGUGGGGAAUAUUGGACAAUGGGCGAAAGCCUGAUCCAGCCAUGCCGCGUGUGUGAAGAAGGCCUUUUGGUUGUAAAGCACUUUAAGCGAGGAGGAGGCUACUUAGAUUAAUACUCUAGGAUAGUGGACGUUACUCGCAGAAUAAGCACCGGCUAACUCUGUGCCAGCAGCCGCGGUAAUACAGAGGGUGCGAGCGUUAAUCGGAUUUACUGGGCGUAAAGCGUGCGUAGGCGGCUUUUUAAGUCGGAUGUGAAAUCCCUGAGCUUAACUUAGGAAUUGCAUUCGAUACUGGGAAGCUAGAGUAUGGGAGAGGAUGGUAGAAUUCCAGGUGUAGCGGUGAAAUGCGUAGAGAUCUGGAGGAAUACCGAUGGCGAAGGCAGCCAUCUGGCCUAAUACUGACGCUGAGGUACGAAAGCAUGGGGAGCAAACAGGAUUAGAUACCCUGGUAGUCCAUGCCGUAAACGAUGUCUACUAGCCGUUGGGGCCUUUGAGGCUUUAGUGGCGCAGCUAACGCGAUAAGUAGACCGCCUGGGGAGUACGGUCGCAAGACUAAAACUCAAAUGAAUUGACGGGGGCCCGCACAAGCGGUGGAGCAUGUGGUUUAAUUCGAUGCAACGCGAAGAACCUUACCUGGUCUUGACAUAGUAAGAACUUUCCAGAGAUGGAUUGGUGCCUUCGGGAACUUACAUACAGGUGCUGCAUGGCUGUCGUCAGCUCGUGUCGUGAGAUGUUG
rnacentral:rRNA from 1 species